rnacentral:tRNA from 1 species
GGGCUUUUAGCUCAGCAGGUUAGAGCAAUCGGCUCAUAACCGAUCGGUCCCAGGUUCGAACCCUGGAAAGCCCA